rnacentral:lncRNA from 1 species
AAAGGAGCUGUCCUGGAGAGCUGACAUCGCUCACCCAUGCCCCUGCAAAGCUCUCUACCUACGCUUCCCCACUUUGCUUUUUCCAGCAAUUCAGACAAGCAAUCUCAUAAAGUGUUGGGGCUGCCUUUAGGUUGUAGUUAAAAAUUUCCAGCAGAUUGGUCACACAUCCUAUGAUAAACAAUAGCCUCCUAUGAGCUGUGAUAUCUUACGUUUGCAAGCCAGUGUGUGCAUGUGUGUGGAAAAAAAUCACCGGUUAUGCUGAGCAACGCUGCCCGACCACAGGGCCAUUUCUGCAGAAUUCUCUUUCCUGGGGCCAUCCCCCUUCAGAUAUCAGGUGUGGGUGGUUUCAACCCAUUGGAGCCACAGACUCCUGUGACCACGUCUGCACUGAGAUGUCACUCAGGAAAGGCCAAGAUCCUUGUUGUUUGAAUAAUCUUUCAUGACAUCUCCCAGCCAACCACUUGGGCAAAUCAUAUUCAUGGUGAGUUCUGCUGGCCUGGAGAUGAGAAGACAAAAGACCAAGGCCUGGCUGCCUCUACAGGGAUGCAGAACUAAGCUUCUCUCCACUCCUUACUGCACUGUUUGAGCUGGUUGGGUUUUCUG